UGCCUAGACACCUAUACAUGUAAAUGAACAUACGAGAUCAAGAUCUUCACAAAUGUGGUAGUCAAGUGGCCGGGGUCGACCCACGACUCGCUCAUUUGGAGCAACUGCAGCAUUGCCACUAAGAUGGAACAGCACGCACCGGAUGGGUGGCUCCUUGGUGAUUCUGG